rnacentral:rRNA from 1 species
UACAGAGGGUGCGAGCGUUAAUCGGAAUUACUGGGCGUAAAGCGUGCGUAGACGGUCAAGUAAGUCGGGUGUGAAAGCCCCGGGCUCAACCUGGGAAUUGCAUUCGAGACUGCGUGGACUAGGGUGCGGAAGAGGGAAGCGGAAUUUCCGGUGUAGCGGUGAAAUGCGUAGAUAUCGGAAGGAACACCAGUGGCGAAAGCGGACUCCUGGUCCAGCACCGGACGUCAGGCACGAAAGCGUGGGGAGCAAA